ensembl:lncRNA
CUCAGUUAACUUUUUAAUAAUCUUAACAAGUAUAGGUUCACACUCUGUUUAUAACUUUGUGUUAUGUAGUUUUGUACAUAUUCUGUGCGUGCAAGGCAAAAAUAACAAUGAAGGUAGAAAAUAAACUCUCCUCCAGGAUAAGAGGAAGGCUCGGGUCAGACAUCACAGGGAGGUGAACUGAGGUCUGCUCUUAUAAAACACACACACCAUUCACAACAACCACCCUGAGAGAAACACAACAUUUUCCUCUGAUUAUAUAGUUUUGUUUUUAAUCUAGUGACUCUGGAGAAAAUUAUUUAGCUGACUAAAGGAGUGAUUGGAUGGAUAUACGAAUAUAAUAUAUUCAUGUGAUCCCACAAAAAUGAGUGAGCGGAGCUUUAGUGUCCCAUGUAUUCAGCUGGAGAUUAUAAAAAGGCUUAAUGUGAAAACAAGGCAAAAAGAAAAAUUUAAAAUACGAGACUAAAAUAAAUACUUGUAAUAAUUUUCAGUGCAUAUAAAUGUGAAUGCUUUUUUCCACCUGUUUGGAGAUACUUGUACAACCAAAAUUUCUUUUAAAAAAAUCAAUGCAAUUCAACGUAUGAUGCCAAACUCUGAACAGCUCAGGUCAGCUCACCAGUAAACCUCAUAGGGUCAGCGUUAGGUGGUAUUUUAGCCAAAUGCAACACAAACAUAGUUUCAGAAACGAGAAGAUACUAACGUUCAAAUCUUUUGCAAACGUAUAAACUUACUGUUGUUCUAUUCCAUUUGGGUACAAACAGUGAACUUAAUCCUAAGUUCUAAAUAUAGUAGCACCAACCACCUGAUGGAUCUCAAGAGGUUAAUUUUUAAUUUUACUUGUACUUGACUAAAAGGUCUUGUGCUGUACUCCUGAUUGAAUGUUGUUAAAGAAGAAUUUCAGCUAUCCUUACGUGUCCAAACUAAAGAUAAGGCUGAACCGACAUAUGACAAAUGAAAAGAAACUGGGCAUGACAGUUGUAUGUGAACACUGCAAAAGUAAAGUAUUUCUGUUUUAUGCAUUUGAUUUUGAACAACCCUGAACACUUUUAGUUUAUGAGGAAAUCCAACUCGUAUCGUUCUUGACUUUUGGAGGACGAAAUCAAAGAAUUAAAGUUUGGAGUUCAUAGCAACAUUGCACAAUGCCAAGCAGUUUUCACUGGGCACUACUGUGGUCCUGCAGAGAUGUUACAUGCUGUGUUGUGCACUGCAUGGAAAGGGGAAAAGCAAUAGGAAUAGACGAGGCCAUUUUCACCUCCAGACCAUCUAUUUCAGUAGUAAAGGAUUCACUUCUUGUGCUUACUUAGAAAUUAAAUCUAAUAAAAUACACAAACAUACAAAACAAUUUAGACAUACCCAAAGUACCUUUUCCUUGUAGUUGGUCUUAAGCCUGAGUCAGACUAGAAUAAAAACAGGAUGGCCUAUUUGCGAGCAGAAAAACACAGUUGCUGAGAGACAGCACUGUUUUUUGUUUUUGCUGUCAGCAACCAUGUGAAAGUAGUUGCUGUGAAGUUGAACAUACAGCACCCUUCUCUUAGUCACAAGGCACAGGUCGCCUGUUGGGAGUCAACCUGUCUCCAGACUUGCAAUGACUGCCGUCACACUCAAAUAGGAAAAAGGUUUCCAAAUAACCCUGAUCUAGUUUCUAAAUACAGACAAACUGACUACAGGUUACAGUCAGUCGGAUGAUGAUGAACACAACUUAUCUGCUUCACCAAGUGGAAAUAUAAUCCAACGAAUCACACAAACCUGAUUUAGUCAGGUUCAUGGCUCGCAUUUUACUGCAACUUGUGUUGAAUUUAAUGCCAGAUCAACAUGCCUGAUUUUUGUGUGAUAGCUGCUGCUAUGAGUGCUCAUUUGUUUGGGGAGAUGUUAGCAGAACAAGUACACAAUCAGCACAGGACCAGCUUAAAGCUGCGAGCCAAGAGCCAGAACGUUGGCUCUGUCCUGUAGAUCCUUACUGAGUUGUCAUUCUGAGCGUCGAGAGCCAAGCCCCACAUGUUCCUGCAUUCCAGUGCUUUAGUCACAUUUUUACACAGAGACCAGUAUACAAUGAAAACAUUUUGUUUCUCUGCAGCGUGCACACUUUGCUUGACAGGUGCUAUUACAUAGAUUCAUGUUUAAAUGUUACAAUACAUAAUACUGACUUUAAUAAGAACCUAGAAUUUAACAGAGUCUGCAGAAAAACCCAGAGAGUGACACAGAAACAGUAUCUUCAUUAACACAGAUGGAUCGGGAUCUGACAGUAAAAUAUGUCUUGUGCUCUUUACAUCACACAUUUGCGCUGCUAUGCAUAGAUUUCAGGUUUAAAUAGUUUGUAAUAAACCAGCUUUUCUAGCUAAACCCUGCACGCCCCUGAGUGUUGGUCCUCAGGGCCCACACACACAGUUGUAUCAGAAGAGCUCACUUUUAAAACAAUCCUAUUGGUUCUUCUAUAGUCCCCCUUUAUUUCUGUUUCUUUCUCUGUUUUCAGAGAGAAACACAAGAGCCAAACCUGCUUUUACACUGUGUUAUAUUUGUUAAUACAUUACUUGCUGCCUCACUUUUGAGCAGCAAAUUUGCACCGCUCUUACUAAAAUUCUGAUCAUUGCUGAAAUGAAAUAGCUGCAUCUUUGUUUGUUCCUAAAUGUAUAAAUUGUAAAUUUGCCACAUUUAUUUACUCUGAUUGAGUCAGACCUGCUGUGUAGGGAUUCUGCACAAUCCAUGAACUGCUUAUCAAGCUGACUGUUUAAGGUGGGCCGCACCUCACGUCAUCAUGUAUUAUGCCUGUGCUGCAAGUGGCUAGUCCAUCCUUGCAUUUGGUAUUCCACUGCUUCACUGAAAUUUGCAACACUUAGCAAACAGAUUUGCAAUUUUUCCCAGUUUAUAACAGGUAAUUGACAUAUUAUUACAAACGAACUGCAUGUAAAUGCUAACUUGACCCCAGCUGAUUAUAGUCUGACUUUUAUCUUAUUGCCCUUUUAUCACUGUCUUAAUGGACCAAAGCCACUUUGAAGAUGUAACUCACUACACGUGGUUACAGGCCUGGUGCCCAUCUUCAAAGACACCAUUUGAAAGGCUUGACCACAAGCUGAUUGCACACAGAUCCAAUCACUUUGGUGGCUCCGAGGCCUCCAACCCUAGCGUGACUGUAACUGAAACUAAGCUUAACAAUAAUGAUCACAUUAAGUAUUGUCAUAUAGAUCAACUCAGCAAAUGAACCCUAUUCACGUGUUUAUAGCAAAAGUGGUGUUUGCACUGAUGACCAAAAAUCAACAACCGUAUAUAGAGUUGCAUACGUAUGUCAAGCAAACUACAACCAGAAAAAAAAAAGAGGAUUUUGAAAAUAUAAUGCAAACUAAAAAACUGCUUCUGAAGGGAAACUGACUUAAUAUGCUGCCUUCGUCAUGAGUAUCACUGCCUCUUCAUUAAGGCACGUGUAGAUCUGCCUAUACAAUUGCUUUUUAUGUAAACAUGCUGCUAAAAUUUAUUCUUAUGCUGCAUGAGACAGUUGUAGCCUUACUCUUUCUGUGGUCGUCAGGAAAAUAAGCAAAGAACAAAUAUGAAAACAAUGUUUUAUAGUCUUGAUAUCUUUUCUUGAACAUAAUGAACUCAGAGCAUGUUAGGC